GUUUAAUCAAGUUGAAAGUUCAACGGAAGUGUGCACGGUGUCAGCAAACGCGCCAACAAAGAAUAGUGUCAGUGAAAUAAAGAACCUGACAUUUUCCUAAAAAAUCUGUUCAUUUAGCUAGCUACACAGUUUACACCACGUUGUAUGCUGAGUCAGUUACGUAACAUGACAGAGGAAACAGCAGUUGCUUCAAGCUCAGGGAGCAUGGAUGAAAAGCCUGGGUCAUCAAGUGCUAUGGCAGCAGACAGCUCUGUCGACGUGAUGGCGGAGGCAAAGAAGCUGAUCGGCGCAGGGAACAGGCACCUGGUGAUGGGAGAUGUCGUUUCUGCAGUCCAUGUGUUCCAGGAGGCUUGUGGCAUGCUGGCUGCGAGGUAUGGGGACACCGCAGAUGAGUGUGGAGAGGCCUUCUUUCUGUGUGGGAAGUCUCUACUGGAGCUUGCCAGGGUGGAGAACUCUGUCCUAGGUAAUGCUCUUGAGGGAGUCCCUGAGGAGUCCUCUGAGGAGGAAGGAGAGGGAGAGAAGCUGGACAACUCAAAGAUUGAGAGUGCUGACAACUUGGAAGACAAAACAAGGGACGAGCUAAGAAUGCAGGUUUAUGAUGCGAUGGCAGAGAAAAAAACUGAUGGGGAGGAUGGCAAAGCUGAGCCAAAGGAGGAAGGGAAGAGUGAAUCUGAGGCAGUGGCAGAGGGGGAGAAAGAAACCAUGGAAACAGAAGCAAAGGAAGAGGACGCUGCCAAGCCUCCUGCCAAGAACGGGCGUGAUGAGAAGUCUACGCCUCCUGUGGAUGGGGUGGAGGAGACUCUUUUUGCUUCUGAAGAUGAAGCUAGAAAAGAUAAGGAGGCUGGGCAAGAGGAAGCUCUGAAGGAGAUUGGCGUGAAGGCUUCUGAAGAUCGAAAUGGAGAGGAGGCUGCGGAGGAGAAUAUGGAGGAAGAGGAUGAUGACGACGAUGAAGGGGAAGGCACUGGUGAAGACAAAGAGGAGGAAGUGGGUAACCUGCAGCUGGCUUGGGAAAUGCUGGAGGUCGCUAAGGUCAUCUACAAAAGAAAGGAGAACAAGGAGGACCAGUUGAUGGCUGCUCAGGCCUAUCUGAAGCUGGGAGAAGUUGGAGCAGAAUCUGGUAACUACCCUGCAGCUGUGGAGGACUUCCAGGACUGCCUGUCCUUGCAGCUGAAGCACUUGCCCCCCCACAGCCGCCUGGUGGCCGAGACCCACUACCAACUGGGCAUGACCUACUGCAUCACAGGCCAAUACAGCCAGGCCAUCCAGCACUACAGCAGCUCAGUCAAAGUCAUUGAGAGCCGCCUGGCCAUGCUCCAGGAGGUGAUAGACAAGGCGGAAGGUGAAGACGGAGCCAAAGAGAAGACCGAGCUGGAGGAGCUGAAGCAGCUGCUGCCUGACGUCGCUGAGAAGGUAGAGGAUGCCAAGGAGAGCCAGAGUAUGGCAGGAUCAGCAUCUGUGGCCAUACAGCAGACAUUGGCUGGAGCUUCUACUUUGUCAGCAUUCCCAUCCUCUUCCUCAUCAGCGUUUGCAGAAAAUGGUGGACCUUCAUCUUCCUGUUCAUCAGCAUUUGGAACCAGUCAGAUUUCUGUCAGAUCGGCAGCCGAUGGCGCAUCUUCCUCCAAAUCUGCGUCAGACAUUUCCCACCUGGUCAGGAAAAAGAGGAAAACUGAGGAGAGCCCCGUAAAGGACACUGAUGCUAAAAAGACCAAGCAGGAAACUACAGUUAAUGGCAGCGGCGAUUCCGGCUCUGGCAGUAAUGGAGUCCAGGAGAAAGGGGCACAGGAGGCGAGUUGAUAGGUUUAUAAGUCAUUCUCAAAGGGGUUAGGUGCAGCAGAGGAAGUUGGUAUUGGUGGCAUCAUGUGAAAGGGGGACCCCCACUUUGAACUGUCUGUUUUAAACAUUUGAACAGACUGGAGUGCUAUGACAUAUUUGACCAAGACUCAUACAGGGGGUUUAAGUUCUCAAACUGAUUCAUCUCUACAGUGUUAAUGGACCCCUGAUAAGAAUGGCAGGUUUGUAUAUGUGGAUUAAAGCAGAGUCCCCCUGUUAUUUAUUUGUAUAGCCCGGCAAGCUGUCCGCCUCUGUGGAAUCCUCGGUGUGAAGUAACUUCCUCUCCCUGAUCUUCCAGCCAGCAGAGCAGGCCUGCCCCUUACGCCGAUUUACACUUUUGUUUCUGUAAAUAUGACAAUUUUUCACAUUUGUUUGUCUAGUUUUUGUAUACUUGUUGUAAUAAAAGUUAAUUAGAGUAUUUGCAAAUG